rnacentral:piRNA from 1 species
UAAAAAUAGUCACAAAACGGU